rnacentral:rRNA from 1 species
CCUACGGGUGGCAGCAGUGGGGAAUAUUGGACAAUGGGGGGAACCCUGAUCCAGCCAUGCCGCGUGUGUGAAGAAGGCCCUCGGGUUGUAAAGCACUUUCAGUGAGGAAGAACGCCUGGUGGUUAAUACCCAUCAGGAAAGACAUCACUCACAGAAGAAGCACCGGCUAACUCCGUGCCAGCAGCCGCGGUAAUACGGAGGGUGCGAGCGUUAAUCGGAAUUACUGGGCGUAAAGCGCGCGUAGGUGGCUUGAUAAGCCGGUUGUGAAAGCCCCGGGCUCAACCUGGGAACGGCAUCCGGAACUGUCAAGCUAGAGUGCAGGAGAGGAAGGUAGAAUUCCCGGUGUAGCGGUGAAAUGCGUAGAGAUCGGGAGGAAUACCAGUGGCGAAGGCGGCCUUCUGGACUGAAACUGACACUGAGGUGCGAAAGCGUGGGUAGCAAACAGGAUUAGAUACCCGAGUAGUC